UACAGGGGGGGCAAGCGUUGUUCGGAAUUACUGGGCGUAAAGGGUUCGUAGGUGGCCAACUAAGUCAGACGUGAAAUCCCUCAGCUUAACUGGGGAACUGCGUCUGAUACUGGAUGGCUUGAGUGUAGGAGAGGAAUGCGGAAUUCCAGGUGUAGCGGUGAAAUGCGUAGAUAUCUGGAGGAACACCGGUGGCGAAGGCGGCAUUCUGGACUACAACUGACACCGAGGAACGAAAGCCAGGGGAGCAAACGGG
rnacentral:rRNA from 1 species